GACAGCGUGGCCGAGCGGUCCAAGGCGCCAGACUCAAGCGUGAGCUUCCUGCAGCAGCGGGCUGAGCAUUCUGGUCAGUGUAUACUGGCGUGGGUUCGAAUCCCACCGCUGUCA
rfam:Trichinella spiralis unplaced genomic scaffold Scfld4, whole genome shotgun sequence.